rnacentral:rRNA from 1 species
UACGGGGGGGGGCAAGCGUUGUUCGGAAUUACUGGGCGUAAAGGGCGCGUAGGCGGCCUACUAAGUCGGACGUGAAAUCCCUCGGCUCAACCGAGGAACUGCGUCCGAUACUGGCAGGCUGGAAUCCGGGAGAGGGAUGUGGAAUUCCAGGUGUAGCGGUGAAAUGCGUAGAUAUCUGGAGGAACACCGGUGGCGAAGGCGGCAUCCUGGACCGGUAUUGAUGCUGAGGCGCGAAAGCUAGGGGAGCAAACGGG